rnacentral:rRNA from 1 species
UACGGAGGAUCCAAGCGUUAUCCGGAUUUAUUGGGUUUAAAGGGUGCGUAGGCGGAAUGAUAAGUCAGAGGUGAAAGCCUACAGCUUAACUGUAGAAUUGCCUUUGAUACUGUCGUUCUUGAGUACAUUUGGUGUGGGCGGAAUGUGUCAUGUAGCGGUGAAAUGCUUAGAUAUGACACAGAACACCGAUCGCGAAGGCAGCUCACAAAACUGUUACUGACGCUGAGGCACGAAAGCGUGGGGAUCGAACAGG